UCUUGGACAGAUUGCUACCAUUCUUUUCCAGGGUCUCAGGGUUUGCAUGAGGAUCCCCUAGGCAAUGACUCUGGCCUCAUCCACAUGUUACUAAUGCCUGAAAGGGCUGGGAAAGUCAAGUCACCAGGGCCUUUUUCAAGGCUUUGAAAGCCCUCUGCUCAAUUUCAGUCCAUUCCAAAGGCUGCUGCAUACCCUUGGUGUUAGCAGAGGGGUUUGGCUAUCUCAGCAAAUCCCAUUAUCCAUAGCCAGAAGUAUUCAACUGUACCCCACACCGGCUAGAAUUCCCAUGCUUGUCUUUUCAGUGCGGGAGGGAGGAGGUAGAGCAUCUUGGGAAACCUUUCUGUUAGGUUGUACAGCCCAGGUAUAUGAAAUUAGGGACCCACAGCUGACCCUUUUUUGGCUGAGACUCUGUACUGCUGAGCUUGGAGGGUUUCUAAAACGCCUUUUGUUGCCUGUCUACAUUCUUCCUCAGUGGUCAAAGCUAUGAGGAGGUCAUCUAUACACUGGAGUGGAGUGCUUUGUGGAUGUCUUUAUCUAAAGUCCAUCAGACCUGCCCUCAGGUUUUCAUCAAACACUGUUGGACUUUCCAUCAAGAAGAUUAGAUUCCAGUCAAACCUAAAAUGGCUUCAGCAAGAAUAAAAGAUGGAGGAACCUCUGCACUCUCUUGCCCUGAAACAAUACAAAACUAUAAGAAGCCAAAGUAUGAGGGCACCAGGGCAUCCCACCAUGUCAGCUGGUUCCAUGUCUGCUGUUUCACAACUACCUGUAACUCCAGCCUCAAGGGAUCUGAUGCUCUCUUCUGACCUCUGACCUCCUCAAGCAUCCACACAGCGUGGCAUACAGAUCCAUGGACCUACCCAAAGAGAUAAGCAAAUAAAAAUAAGUUCAGUUUCUCUUAUUAUACUCUAUUUCCUUCUGGUGCCAGGGAAUGGAAGUCAGAGCCUUAUGCUUGCCAGGCCAGUUCUCUCUGGCUGACUAGACCCCAGCUGUAAAAUUUUUAAAAUAAAAAUAAAAAUACCACUUGUUGAGUUUUGGUGUAGUAAAU
rnacentral:lncRNA from 1 species